rnacentral:rRNA from 1 species
CGCGCAGGCGGUUGUUUAAGUCGAAUGUGAAAGCCCCCGGCUCAACUGGGGAGGGUCAUUCGAUACUGAUCGACUUGAAGGCAGGAGAGGGUAGUGGAAUUCCCGGUGUAGUGGUGAAAUGCGUAGAUAUCGGGAGGAACACCAGUGGCGAAGGCGACUACCUGGCCUGUUCUUGACGCUGAGGCGCGAAAGCUGGGGGGAGCAAACGG